GAGUUUGAACCUGGCUCAGGAUGAACGCUGGCGGCGUGCCUAAUACAUGCAAGUCGAGCGAACCACUUCGGUGGUGAGCGGCGAACGGGUGAGUAACACGUAGGUGAUCUGCCCAUCAGACGGGGACAACGAUUGGAAACGAUCGCUAAUACCGGAUAGGACGAAAGUUUAAAGGUGCUUCUGGCACCGCUGAUGGAUGAGCCUGCGGCGCAUUAGCUAGUUGGUAGGGUAAAGGCCUACCAAGGCGACGAUGCGUAGCCGACCUGAGAGGGUGAACGGCCACACUGGGACUGAGACACGGCCCAGACUCCUACGGGAGGCAGCAGUAGGGAAUCUUCGGCAAUGGGCGAAAGCCUGACCGAGCAGCGCCGCGUGAAUGAUGAAGGCCUUCGGGUUGUAAAAUUCUGUUAUAAGGGAAGAACGACUUUAGUAGGAAAUGGCUAGAGUGUGACGGUACCUUAUGAGAAAGCCACGGCUAACUACGUGCCAGCAGCCGCGGUAAUACGUAGGUGGCGAGCGUUAUCCGGAAUUAUUGGGCGUAAAGAGCGCGCAGGUGGUUGAUUAAGUCUGAUGUGAAAGCCCACGGCUUAACCGUGGAGGGUCAUUGGAAACUGGUCGACUUGAGUGCAGAAGA
rnacentral:rRNA from 1 species